UAGAAGAAAAAGUUGAAGCACUCCUCAAGUUAUCUCAGGUUAUGUACUUUAUCAUUUUAUAUAAAAUGAUAACAUAGCUUUACAUAACUACGUAUAAUAACUUUUUAUUUUUUUUAUUAUUUUACAGAGUCCAAAUAAGAAUGUAGAUGACAUGACUUCACGUGCUUUUACUCCUCAGGUUAUGUAUCUUAUAUUAUUUAUUGUUUGUUCAAUAUAAAUUCAGACUAUAUGGCGUACUAAUUUUAAAAAGAAUAUUUUCAUUUUAUUGUGAAUUUGUAGUCCCAACAAGGAAGUGGUAUCCAGGGAGGGACUACACAUUUGGAAAAUUCAAGGUGUCAAUUAUUGCAUUGGUACCAAUAUGAUGAGGAAGAAAUCGUAGUAGAAGGGAAG
rnacentral:lncRNA from 1 species